GCUGUCUGUGCUGGUGGCCGCAGGGGGAGCUGUGAUGGCAGCCACAGGGGGAGCUCUGAUGGCGGCCGAAGGGGGAGCUCCGAUGGCGGCUGCAGGGGGAGCUGGCUGUGCUGUUUCUGUUUCCGCGUGCUAUUUAAUGAGACCGGGGCUGGAAUAUGACAUCAUAUUCUGGCCCCGGUCUCAUUAAACUGCGCGCUGGGGAGCAGAGACAGUGCAGCCAGCUCCCCUUGCGGCCGCCAUCACAGCUCCCCCUGCGGCCGCCAUCACAGCUCCCCCU